rnacentral:rRNA from 1 species
GACAGAGGGGGCAAGCGUUGCUCGGAAUCACUGGGCGUAAAGGGCGCGUAGGCGGGAUGGCAAGUCAGUCGUGAAAUCUCUCGGCUCAACCGAGAAACGUCGGCUGAUACUGCCGUUCUUGAGGGAUGCAGAGGAGACUGGAAUUCCGGGUGUAGUGGUGAAAUGCGUAGAGAUCCGGAGGAACACCAGUGGCGAAGGCGACACGCUGGGCCGUACCUGACACUGAUGCGCGACAGCAUGGGGAGCAAACAGG